AAAAGUUAACGAAGUAGCUUUUCUGACACGUUGUGUAUAUAUUGCACAGCAUUACACCUGUUCAACAAGUGCCGACGGUAAAUGGGAAACUUCUAAAUCCGUUAUCCAUCUGGUGGUCGGUCUCCUCCACAAUACGCAACUAGUCAUUAAGAAGCUUAUAAGUGUUAAACCGAUUAAGCUAAAAAUUAACAUGUUUAAACAUUUUUCGAUUAUAUUGGAAACAAUGGGGGUUAUGCAAAAACUCGUAAUUUUAUUAUUAUCUUACAUCUUCACAAUAACUAGUUGUCUGUCAUAUGCAUUUCAAGCAAAGAAUCCUAAUGGUAAAUAUUAAAAUGAAUUCUGGAUUCUUUGUAAUUAAGAAAGAUUGGACCGUAUAUAAACAAUAACAUUGUCCAUCAGUAGUAAUAUGCUCAAAACCCAAUUGUUACAUCGUGUAUUUUUCAAAAGACCGGCAAUAAUAUAUUUCAUACACUCGUCGGAAACUAGGAAAAUAGGGGUGUGUGGAUAGGUAGGUAAAAAUAAAUAGGUACUUGCAUAGAUAAUCAAUCAUG